AUGAACGCUAGCGACAGGCUUAACACAUGCAAGUCGAGGGGCAGCACAGGUAGCAAUACCGGGUGGCGACCGGCGCACGGGUGAGUAACGCGUAUGCAACUUACCUAUCAGAGGGGGAUAACCCGGCGAAAGUCGGACUAAUACCGCAUGAAGCAGGGGCCCCGCAUGGGGAUAUUUGCUAAAGAUUCAUCGCUGAUAGAUAGGCAUGCGUUCCAUUAGGCAGUUGGCGGGGUAACGGCCCACCAAACCGACGAUGGAUAGGGGUUCUGAGAGGAAGGUCCCCCACAUUGGUACUGAGACACGGACCAAACUCCUACGGGAGGCAGCAGUGAGGAAUAUUGGUCAAUGGGCGUAAGCCUGAACCAGCCAAGUCGCGUGAGGGAUGAAGGUUCUAUGGAUCGUAAACCUCUUUUAUAAGGGAAUAAAGUGCGGGACGUGUCCCGUUUUGUAUGUACCUUAUGAAUAAGGAUCGGCUAACUCCGUGCCAGCAGCCGCGGUAAUACGGAGGAUCCGAGCGUUAUCCGGAUUUAUUGGGUUUAAAGGGUGCGUAGGCGGCCUUUUAAGUCAGCGGUGAAAGUCUGUGGCUCAACCAUAGAAUUGCCGUUGAAACUGGGAGGCUUGAGUAUGUUUGAGGCAGGCGGAAUGCGUGGUGUAGCGGUGAAAUGCUUAGAUAUCACGCAGAACCCCGAUUGCGAAGGCAGCCUGCCAAGCCAUGACUGACGCUGAUGCACGAAAGCGUGGGGAUCAAACAGGAUUAGAUACCCUGGUAGUCCACGCAGUAAACGAUGAUCACUAGCUGUUUGCGAUACAGUGUAAGCGGCACAGCGAAAGCGUUAAGUGAUCCACCUGGGGAGUACGCCGGCAACGGUGAAACUCAAAGGAAUUGACGGGGGCCCGCACAAGCGGAGGAACAUGUGGUUUAAUUCGAUGAUACGCGAGGAACCUUACCCGGGUUUGAACGCAUUCGGACCGAGGUGGAAACACCUUUUCUAGCAAUAGCCGUUUGCGAGGUGCUGCAUGGUUGUCGUCAGCUCGUGCCGUGAGGUGUCGGCUUAAGUGCCAUAACGAGCGCAACCCUUGCCACUAGUUACUAACAGGUAAAGCUGAGGACUCUGGUGGGACUGCCAGCGUAAGCUGCGAGGAAGGCGGGGAUGACGUCAAAUCAGCACGGCCCUUACAUCCGGGGCGACACACGUGUUACAAUGGCGUGGACAAAGGGAAGCCACCUGGCGACAGGGAGCGAAUCCCCAAACCACGUCUCAGUUCGGAUCGGAGUCUGCAACCCGACUCCGUGAAGCUGGAUUCGCUAGUAAUCGCGCAUCAGCCACGGCGCGGUGAAUACGUUCCCGGGCCUUGUACACACCGCCCGUCAAGCCAUGGGAGCCGGGGGUACCUGAAGUCCGUAACCGCGAGGAUCGGCCUAGGGUAAAACUGGUGACUGGGGCU
rnacentral:rRNA from 1 species